ACUGAUUUAGCAUCAAAGGGACAGGGUGUAUUGGACAGCGGCAAGGCAAUAAUUAAAGGAGACAUGGAUGAUUCCUUUCAGUUGGAUACAAAAGUUCGCUGUCCAUGUGGAAGUUCACUGGAGACAGAGUCUAUGAUUAAGUGUGAGGAUGCCAGAUGUCGUGUGUGGCAACACAUUGGCUGUGUUAUAAUUCCUGAAAAACACAUGGAGGGCAAUCCACAAGUUCCUGACUUGUUUUACUGCGAGAUUUGUCGACUUAGCCGUGCUGACCCUUUUCUGGUUGCUGUUGAACAUCCUCUUUAUCCUGCGCAGUUGGCUACUACAAAUAUUCCAACUGAUGGUUCAAGCCCAGUGCAGAGUGUAGAGAAAACAUUUCAUCUUGCAAGGGCGUACAAGGACUUAUUGACAAAACAAGAAUAUGAUAUUCAGGCUUGGUGUAUGCUUUUGAAUGACAAGGUUCCAUUUAGGAUGCAGUGGCCACAAUAUGCAGAUCUACAGGUCAAUGGUGUGCCAGUUCGAGCUAUUAACAGACCUGGUUCACAAUUAUUGGGGGCUAAUGGUCGUGAUGAUGGUCCAAUUAUCACGCCAUGUAUAAAAGAUGGGAUCAAUAAGAUAUCAUUAACUGGAUGUGACGCUCGUGUCUUCUGUUUAGGAGUUAGAAUUGUGAAGCGACGAACCGUUCAACAGAUACUCAACUUGAUUCCAAAAGAGUUCGAUGGUGAGCAUUUUGAAGAUGCACUUGCUCGAGUUUGUCGUUGUGUUGGUGGUGGAGCGGCAGACAAUGCUGAUAGUGACAGUGACCUGGAAGUUGUUGCAGAAUCUUUUACUGUUAGUCUCCGCUGUCCAAUGAGUGGUUCAAGAAUGAAGGUUGCUGGAAGAUUUAAACCUUGUGUUCACAUGGGUUGUUUUGAUCUUGAAGUUUUUGUGGAAAUGAAUUCUAGGAAGUGGCAGUGCCCUAUUUGUCUCAAGAACUACUCAUUGGAGAAUGUAAUCAUUGAUCCAUAUUUCAAUCGUGUCACUUCUAAGAUGUGGCAUUGUGGUGAAGAUACAACAGAGAUUGAGGUGAAGCCAGAUGGUUCUUGGCGCGUAAAAACCAAAACUGAAGCUGAGCGUAGAGAUGUUGGUGAACUUGCACAGUGGCACUAUCCUGAUGGUACUCCAUGUGCACCUAAUGGGGGAGAGGUCAAAGCAAAAGUGGAAAUGGAAAAGCUGAUCAGGCAGGAAGGACCUUCAGACUGUCAUAAUGGUACUGGUUUGAAACUUGGAAUCAGGAAGAACCGCAAUGGCUUUUGGGAAGUCAGCAAACCAGAGGAUGUGAAUACAUCCUCUUCUGGUAAUAAAUUGCAAGAGAAGUUUGAAAGCCAUGAACAGAAAGUUAUUCCUAUGAGCAGUAGUGCCACAGGCAGUGGUCGGGAUGGUGAAGAUCCAAGUGUAAAUCAGGAUGGUGGUAAAUUUUGAUUUUACAAACAAUGGUAUAGAACUUGAUUCAUUUCCUCUAAAUGUGGAUUCAGCAUAUGGAUUUGCUGACCGUACCUUUUCUGCACCAGUAGGGGAUGCUGAAGUUAUUGUUCUUAGUGAUUCUGAUGAUGAUAAUAAUAUGUUGAUGACAUCUGGAGUUGUCUAUAAGAACAAUCAAACUGAUGAUGGUGGGGCUGCUUUUCCAAUGCCUCCUCCUGGAACCUUUCCUGAAGAUCCUACAAUUGGGAAUGGUUUGGGCUUUCUGAAUCCUAAUGAUGAUGAAUUUGGGAUGCCUCUCUGGCCUCCUGGAAGUCAAGCAGGCCUCCAAUUAUUUAAUUCAGAUGAUCCAAAUGCCUUAGUUGAUUUGCAGCCUGGUCCUAUCAACUGUCCCAUGUCAAUGAAUGGUUAUACAUUGGCUCCAGAUACUGUCAUGGGACCUGCUAGUUUAGUGCCAGAUUCUUCUGUUGGCAGAUCUGACACUGACAUAAAUGAUGGCUUGGUUGAUAACCCCUUAGCAUUUGGUGGCGAAGAUCCCUCUCUUCAAAUUUUUCUUCCAACUAGGCCUUCAGAUGCAUCAGGGCAGCCUGAUUUGAGGGAUCAAGCUGAUGUGUCAAAUGGUGUCCGAACAGAGGAUUGGAUUUCUCUAAGACUUGGUGGUGGUGGUGGUGCCACUGGCAGUCAUGGCGACUUAGUUCCUGCAAAUGGACUAAAUUCGAGACAGCAGAUGCCACCGAGAGAAGGUGCAAUGGAGUCUUUGGCUGACACUGCUUCUUUGCUGGUUUGUCUCCUUUUUCUUGAUGCCCUGUAGUAGAUUGAUGGUUUUAGAUGCCAUAUUAAAGUCGGCAAAGAUCUGAUAGCCCUUUCACGUUUCCUCGCCAAAAACGUUCUGUUAGACCACGGUUGUAUCUUUCUAUUGACUCAGACUCGGAGUAACGAAGUGGAGUUUAUUUUGCUGAGAUUACUGUUGCUUUCAUUAAAAUUUCUUGGAGAUCAGCAUUUCCUGGGAUGAUAUGGUGAUUAAAAAGCAUAUCGACAUUUGGUUCCUAUGAUAUGGAAGUCUUGGAUGAGGCAUGAAGCAUAUACAUCGGGAACAAUGUCAUCAGGAAAACUGUCCUCUUAAAGUUGUGUUGGCAGCUGAAGAUUUUUUUCACAAUUGGUGAGCUGUAGGCCUCAUAAACCCUUCUCAAUUUUGUGCGGUAUGACCUGGUUUCUGAUGUUCUUUGUUCUAUCAGGGGUUAUUACAAGCACUCUCUUUCUCCCAUCUUGACAAAGAUCUAUGUCUGGUGCUGGUAAAUUGUACAGUAGAUAGUCAAUUGAAUCUGAAAAUUGGAUUAACCCAUUGGUUUGUUGCAAACCUUUGGAUGUAAUGGGGAAGUCCUUAGUUUAUAACACAAGUAUCCCCCUUUUUUUUGGGUCUCUGUUUAAUGACGAGAGCAAAGAGCUUGUAUAUGUCUCAGAUUCAGUUAUUUAUGGAAAGAAUAAGGUAUUUUGGUCUUAUCUUAGCUGUUCAGAACUGGGGCACAACUGUUGAAUAUCUAAUGUUUGUUUUAGAAAUCAUUGGCCGGGGAACCUGCUAUUAGGUGUUCCUUUGUCACCAUGAAAUACAAGUUUUUCAAGCACCGCAGAUAUUGACGGGCUCUAUAUAUGCUUCUGCUAAUUUCUUGUCAAGGGAUGAUCAAUAUCCCCCUCAAAUCAUCCACAGUUCCAUGCGCCCCCACCACACCCACCCCCCCACCAAAAAAAAAAAAAAAACUCUCUCUAGCUGGUUCCAUCAGUAGAAGCAUGCCCGUAGUUGAUGGCCAGUGUUUUGUGUAUGUGUUGGGUGAUUUUUUUCAGAAAUUUAAGCUGUGGUGUGGGGAUACUGGAUUCUUAUUGCAUUUUUGACAA
rnacentral:misc_RNA from 1 species